rnacentral:pre_miRNA from 1 species
UCCCAAACGGUAACCCUCUAAAAGGAAGCACUUUCUUUUCUUUCAGACCACAGAAAGCGCUUCCCUCUAGAGGGUCACAGCCUGAGA